AUGCCUGCAAAGGGGGAGAAAGCGCGCGAGAAGGAGAGAUAGAUGGAAAGAGAGAGAGGAGGAGGAGAACGCAAAACUGCGCAGGGUGAAAUGUGUGCGUUCGUGCACACUUGUCGCAGAUAUUUCACCAUUUUAUGCCUCAGCUGCUGUGAAAAUGAUCCAAAAGUUGAGAUUCUUCGAAAGGACCUCGUGUCACGAAGAGGAGAGAAAAAAAAGCUCCAUCACAUGACAGAGGAUGUGCGUCGGUGGUUCACAAGCACUCAUUAAUCUGCAGCGCAGAAGGUGAUCUGGAGGAGAAGAUGCCCCAUUUCACAACAUAAUACAACAAACUGCACGAGGCAAUGAAGAGCUCAGCCUGUGUGGGGCUUUCCUCUGGGGAAGUGCUCCCUUGAUGGCCAACACAGCCAAACAACUACUUUGAUAAGGAACAUACAACAAUGAAAGGCCAUCCGGAGUU